ACUUAAAUAAUUUAAAUAAAAUAUUGAUUUGUGGAGUCAAAAAUAUGAGGUUUCAUUUUAAGUU
rnacentral:tRNA from 1 species